AACGAACGCUGGCGGCAUGCCUAACACAUGCAAGUCGAACGCUCCGCAAGGGGAGUGGCGCACGGGUGAGUAACGCGUGGGAACCUGCCGAGGGGUGUGGGAUAACCGGUGGAAACGCCGGCUAAUACCGCAUACGUCCUAUGGGAGAAAGAUUCAUCGCCCUUUGAGGGGCCCGCGUCGGAUUAGCUAGUUGGCGGGGUAACGGCCCACCAAGGCGACGAUCCGUAGGUGGUGUGAGAGGAUGAUCACCCACACUGGGACUGAGACACGGCCCAGACUCCUACGGGAGGCAGCAGUGGGGAGUAUUGGACAAUGGGGGCAACCCUGAUCCAGCAAUGCCGCGUGAGUGAUGAAGCCCUUAGGGUUGUAAAGCUCUUUCGGCGGGGACGAUGAUGACGGUACCCGCAGAAGAAGCCCCGGCUAACUUCGUGC
rnacentral:rRNA from 1 species